AAGUGGAGUACUGUUAACCUCUAGGACUUACAUGUGUAGUUCAGAAAUACUGCAGAUGGGUUGUGUUGGCACAUCCCAGAAUAAAUUGGGUUUGGACCACAUAAGAGGUAGUGCUCACGGUCAUCUGAUGUCAACUGAAACCUGGAUUGGCCCGGGAUAUGGAAACCUAAAAUAGGAUAAGAGAAACUUCCUGCACUGGGAAUCAAGACCACUAUCUCUUCCUACCUCUCUUUCUGACCUGGAGAAGCCUCAAAGUUCUCAUGUCCAAACAGUUAAGCACAGCAAGACCACCUGUAAAACCACAGUUAUGUCUUCUAGACAGAGAUGUUCUGAGAGGAUUUAGUGAAAGGCUCUCAUUAGCCCUGCUGUAUUUAUCCUGCUGACAAAAAGACAGAGAUUAGAGACAUCCUGGGGAACUCUGUAAUAUCCUUCAUAUCAUGGUAUCCCAGGAAGCUUGGCCAGGCUCAGGCUGGGUAUUUUGGCAGAAGACAUUGCUUGGCUCCAGCCAGUGCUGUAAGCUCCUACCAGGGACAUAAGAGCAGACAGGCGCUGCCUGGAAACUGAGCUCUGGGUCAGAUUUGUUUGGAGAGACAGGCUUAGUAGUCAUGAAAACCUUUUCAUGCUGUUUGAUGGUUGGCCUUUGGAUUAGGCAAUUGUUGCAGCCUCCCUACUGGUUAUAUUAGAACACUAUCAGCUAAAAUCUUGCUG
rnacentral:lncRNA from 1 species